GAGUUGUAAUUUAGAGAAGCGUCUUCCGCGCUGGACCGUGCACAAGUCUCCUGGAAUGGAGCGUCAUAGAGGGUGAGAAUCCCGUCUUUGGCAUGGACCCCAGGGCUUCUGUGAUGCGCUCUCAAAGAGUCGAGUUGUUUGGGAAUGCAGCUCAAAAUGGGUGGUGAACUCCAUCUAAAGCUAAAUAUUGGCGAGAGACCGAUAGCGAACAAGUACCGUGAGGGAAAGAUGAAAAGCACUUUGGAAAGAGAGUGAAACAGUACGUGAAAUUGUUGAAAGGGAAACGCUUGAAGUCAGUCGCGUCGACCGAGACUCAGCCUUGCCUUGGCUUGGUGUACUUCUCGGCCCGACGGGUCAGCAUCAAUUUCAAUCCUUGGAUAAUGGCGGGGGAAAGGUGGCACCUUUACAGGUGUGUUAUAGUCCUCCGUCGCAUGCAUGGGUUGGGAUUGAGGAACUCAGCACGCACCUUUGGUGUCGGGGCCUCGGCCUACGUUACGUGCUUAGGAUGUUGGCAUAAUGGCUUUAAACGACCCGUCUUGAAACACGGACCAAGGAG
rnacentral:rRNA from 1 species